rnacentral:rRNA from 1 species
CAACUUUAAGUGGUGGAUCACUCGGCUCGG